rnacentral:rRNA from 1 species
AUUGAACGCUGGCGGCAGGCCUAACACAUGCAAGUCGAACGAGUCGCGGACGGGUGAGUAAUGUCUGUGAAACUGCCUGCUGUAGGGGGAUACCUACUGGAAACGGUAGCUAAUACCGCAUACCAUCGGAUGUUCCCAGAUGGGAUUAGCUAGUGGGUUGGGUAAAGGCUCACCUAGGCGACGAUCCCUCGCUGGUCUGAGAGGAUGACAAGCUACACUGGAACUGAGACACGGUCCAGACUCCUACGGGAGGCAGGAGUGGGGAAUAUUGCACAAGGGGCGCAAGCCUGAUGCAGCCAUGCCGCGUGUAUGAAGAAGGCCUGCGGGUUGGAAAUUAAUUUCAGCGGGGAGGCGGUACCCGAAGAAGAAGCACCGGCUAACUCCGUGCCAGCAGCCGCGGUAAUUC